rfam:Pseudomonas sp. Bc-h sc_011, whole genome shotgun sequence.
GGCCUGUCCUUUGCAACUACCCGGCUAUAGGCAGUCAACGCCGAUUGCCCUCUCCACGACAAAGGCGCCGU